GGUUUGUGACCCACGGGGAGCUGUCACUGGGGACCCUACUGCAGCCUGGCAUUAAUCACUUUGCUCUUUGUCAGGCAGUGUCAUGAUGAUUCAUACUUCUUCCUCUACAAGAUUAGAUUACUGUAAUUUUCAUAUCCUGGACUGCCCACGAGGGAUUUGAAUUAAUACUUGUUGGUAUAGAAAGCAGGAUCAUGUUUCUGGGGAGAAAGGACUGAACUUGCCCACUUGGCCAUCAUCAGAAAACAUUAGGCAGGGCCUGGCUGAAAAAUAAUCCUGCCUUCAGGGCUUACCACAUCAAUUAGCUUACCAUACGGGCCAGUAAGCCGUGUCUUUGUGAACACAUGGUCCCUGGGCAGCGGAUUUGUGAAAGUGAUGCCAAGCCCAGGAGAUCAGAAUGCACGGAAGAUUUUGCAAGGGAGUCCUAUAUUGAAAUCAGACACUGCUUAAUGAGGAAAAUCUUUCCCAAAGAGGUAUUUGAGAAGGAGGUAAACCAAUUCAGGCAUGUGGAACAGCCUGCACAAAGCCAGCAGAAAUUACGAUCACAGAUUGCAGGGCAGGGGGGUGUCUGUGAGGGAUAAAGUUGCCUUUGGAAAAGAACUCAUUGCCUUGUCAUUUUCCCUGGAGCAUACGCAUUAUUUGCCUUAUUCGUUCAAGAAAUAUUUAUCGAGCACUUAAUAUAUCCUAGGCACUGAAGAUGAACAGCAGUUCACAAACCAGACAAAAGUCUCUGUCCUCACACAAGUCACAUUUUAGGGGGCCCAUGUCACUAGGGGUACAAGCGUAAGCUGAAGGGAGCUGUAGCAAGGAGUUAGGAGUACCUGGAAGAACUCCUGAAUAACUAUAGUUGUUUGAAAACGUAUUUGCUUAUUUAUUUUCUCUCUUCCCUUUGAUGCAACUUGCACCCACUAUCCCACUAACGAGAUUACCAGCCAUCUUUCGAUAAAUCCUUGGGAGGGAAUUACUUGUACUUGCUAAUGAAUAAUCCACUUUAGUAGUCCAACAGAUAAUAACUUCAGGGUCUUCAAAGGGUUAUCUGAUCUGCUUUGGCCUGAGUCUCUAUGGGAGGGAAGUUGAGGCAUGAUCAAAGGAUUUUAUCUUUGCUUGCUCUCCUACUGUCUAAUAAUUUUUUAUUUCAGAAUGCUUUGCUUUAACAUAUUUUAUCUCGCUUGGAGCGCUUUAUUCCUUCCUUAUUUAUUUAUUUUUUGAGACGGAGUUUCACUCUAUCGCCCAGGCUGGAGUUCAGUGGCACAAUCCCGGCUCACUGCAAACUCCACCUCCCGGGUUCAAGCAACCCUCCUGCCUCAGCCUCCCGAGUAGUUUGGACUACAAGAGCCCGCCACCACACCUGACUAAUUUUUGUAUUUUUAGUAGAGACAUGGUUUCACCAUGUUGGCCAGGCUGGUCUUGAACUCCUGACCUCAAGUGAUCCUCUCGCCUCGGCCUCCCAAAAUGCUGGACUUACAGGCAUGACCCACCACACCUGGCCCCUUCCUUCUUUUUUUCCCCCUCAUUGUUGAGGCUUUUCUUUGGAGAAGGUGAGAUGGUGCUAUGCCUCAGAAUUGUAGAAUUUCAAGUUUUUAGAAUUUGAUGGCACUGUAGGAAUCUUAAUCCAGACCAGCGAUUUUCAGUCCCCAGACUAAAACCAAGCCCUUACCUGAGGGCAGUGCGAUGAGAAACCUAAGAAAAUGAAGUGAAUGUUGUAUUAAAUAUAAAGCUAAAUUUAUUCAGUUGAUUUCUGCAUCAUUCUGUUAUUUUCUUUUCUUGAAUUUUUCAGGUUUUUUUUUUUAGUGUCCUCCACCUACCCCAGAAAUCAGUCUUCCUGAUCUCAGCCUCCCACCUCCCACCAUUCUGUCCCCACAGGCUGACUCCUGUCAGACCCCAUCCUCCCACGCCCCAGUUUUCAGAUGGGACCCUCCUCCUCAGUCUUGUAGCCCCUGCCCUCAAUACAGAAGUCACUGGCUAAACCUUAGGGUAGGAAGUUCCCACUCGUGCUGUC
rnacentral:lncRNA from 1 species